GUGAAUCAUCGAAUUUUUGAACGCAAAUUGCGCCUUUUUCGGAAGGGAUGUCUGUUUGAGGUCACCAUUUAACAAAUAAUGUGCAUUUCGUGUUCACACGGUGAUGAGCUUUCCAAAAUUAUUUAUUAUUAUUUUUGGUGGCGCAUAAUAAACAGUGCGAUGCUUUUUUUCGUUUCGAUUGUAGUAAAAUUUUUUCUUUCUUGUGUUUUUAAAAGCGUGAUCUCCCAAUGGUUGUGUCGAUUCGACUAACCCUGCUCCAACG
rnacentral:misc_RNA from 1 species